UACGAAGGGGGCUAGCGUUGCUCGGAAUCACUGGGCGUAAAGCGCACGUAGGCGGAUUGUUAAGUCAGGGGUGAAAUCCUGGAGCUCAACUCCAGAACUGCCUUUGAUACUGGCGAUCUUGAGUCCGGGAGAGGUGAGUGGAACUGCGAGUGUAGAGGUGAAAUUCGUAGAUAUUCGCAAGAACACCAGUGGCGAAGGCGGCUCACUGGCCCGGUACUGACGCUGAGGUGCGAAA
rnacentral:rRNA from 1 species